CCUACGGGUGGCAGCAGUGAGGAAUAUUGGUCAAUGGGCGGGAGCCUGAACCAGCCAAGUCGCGUGAGGGAAGACGGUCCUAUGGAUUGUAAACCUCUUUAGGCGGGGAGCAAUGCCGGGCACGCGUGCCCGGAGGGAGAGUACCCGCAGAAUAAGCAUCGGCUAACUCCGUGCCAGCAGCCGCGGUAAUACGGAGGAUGCGAGCGUUAUCCGGAUUUAUUGGGUUUAAAGGGUGCGUAGGCGGAUUUUUAAGUCAGCGGUAAAAUGUCCGGGCUCAACCCGGGCCGGCCGUUGAAACUGGGGAUCUUGAGUGGGCGAGAAGUAUGCGGAAUGCGUGGUGUAGCGGUGAAAUGCAUAGAUAUCACGCAGAACUCCGAUUGCGAAGGCAGCUUGCUGGACGAUGACUGACGUUGAGGCUCGAAAGCGUGGGGAGCAAACAGGAUUAGAUACCCUAGUAGUC
rnacentral:rRNA from 1 species